CGCAUCUGUGCAUGCAGCAUAUCAAUAAGCGGAGGAAAAGAAACUAACAAGGAUUCCCUCAGUAACGGCGAGUGAAGCGGGAAGAGCUCAAAUUUGAAAUCUUGAAAGGUCACCUUUCACGAAUUGUAGUUUAAAGAAGUGUUUUCUGUUACGAUCGUAAUAUAAGUUCUUUGGAAUAGGACAUCCACAGAGGGUGAGAAUCCCGUCUAUGAUUGCGAUUUGUAGCUUUGUGAUACACUUUCAAAGAGUCGGGUUGUUUGGGAAUGCAGCCCAAAACGGGAGGUAAAUUUCUUCUAAGGCUAAAUAUUGGCGAGAGACCGAUAGCGAACAAGUACCGUGAGGGAAAGAUGAAAAGAACUUUGAAAAGAGAGUUAAAUAGUACGUGAAAUUGUCAAAAGGGAAGCGUUUAACACCAGUGUUGUUUUCUGAAAAUCAACCUCUGUUAGCUUUAUGCAUGUUUGUUUAGACCUAAUCAGCUAUCUUUCAUGUUCUAUUGUUUGCAGUGGUGCACUUUUCAGUUUACAGGUCAACAUCAGUUUUUUUUACCGUAAAAAAGUUAAAGAAAGGUAGCUCAUGGCUCCGGUCGUGAGUGUUAUAGUCUUUUUCCUAUGCGGUAGGAGAGACUGAGGUCUGCAGUGUAGGCUAUUUGGCUAGAUACUCAGGUGCUAUGUGAUACCAUUUCAUAAACAACUUGUUGAUUAUGUUUUGUCUAUUGCAUACUCGCUUGUACUAUCAUACCUACGCUUAGGAUGUUGACGAUCAGCUGAGCGCG
rnacentral:rRNA from 1 species